CCCGCACAAGCGGUGGAGCAUGUGGUUUAAUUCGAUGCAACGCGAAGAACCUUACCUGGGCUUGACAUCCCGAGAAUCCCCUGGAAACAGGGGAGUGCCCUUUCGGGGAACUCGGAGACAGGUGCUGCAUGGCUGUCGUCAGCUCGUGUCGUGAGAUGUUGGGUUAAGUCCCGCAACGAGCGCAACCCUUGUCUUUAAUUGCCAGCAUUCAGUUGGGCACUUUAAAGAGACUGCCGGUGUUAAGCCGGAGGAAGGUGGGGAUGACGUCAAGUCCUCAUGGCCUUUAUGCCCAGGGCUACACACGUGCUACAAUGGGUGGUACAAAGAGAUGCCAACUCGCGAGAGCGCGCCAAUCUCAGAAAGCCAUCCUCAGUUCGGAUUGGAGUCUGCAACUCGACUCCAUGAAGCUGGAAUCGCUAGUAAUCGCGGAUCAGCACGCCGCGGUGAAUACGUUCCCGGGCCUU
rnacentral:rRNA from 1 species